UACAGGGGGUGGCAAACGUUGCUCGGAAUCAUUGGGCGUAAAGCGCACGUAGGCGGUCUGUUAUGUCGGAUGUGAAAGCCCUUGGCUCAACUGAGGAAGUGCAUCCGAAACUGGCAGGCUAGAGUACUAAAGAGGGUCGCGGAAUUCCCGGUGUAGAGGUGAAAUUCGUAGAUAUCGGGAGGAACACCGGUGGCGAAGGCGGCGACCUGGGUAGAUACUGACGCUGAGGUGCGAAAGCGUGGGGAGCAAACAGG
rnacentral:rRNA from 1 species